rnacentral:lncRNA from 1 species
UUUGGCAAAUUUGCUCCCUCCCCAUUCCUGAUGAUUUCAACAGAUCUCCUAUGUCUGAAACUGUCUUAUUUUGUUUUGUUUAAUCCAGCUUUUCUAGUUGUUUCUAGCUAGAGAGUGGUCUGCUGCAAACUAGUUCAUCAUAAACAGAAGCAAAACCUUACAUUGUUUUUAAAAUUGGUUCUGAGUGGUCCUUGCCAUGGAACAGAAGAAGAGCUACUGGAACAUACAUCCUCUGGGGGUUCUCUGGAUGCUCUUGAAACAUAAAAUGAAAAGCAUACAACAAACUUGGAAAGGUCUCCAUUUUUAAUUAGAAUAUAUGAUUAGAAAAAGGAAAAAGCCUCGCCUGAAAGCCAACGUGUGGCAAGAGAAAGAGAGAGAAAGAGACUGGAUGAAUAUUAUGGAAGAGUUAGACCUUCUAUGGAUGUACCACCAGGACCUGUUUUAAAAUAUCCAUUCUAGUGGAUACAAGAGGACCCCCAUGUGUCUCAGUGUCUGUGCUGAUCUAUGCCAUGGAGUUCUUGCUUCCAACAUUUUGAAAUCCCAAAACAAAACAUUUGACCAGAUCUCAGAAGACAAAAGUGGAAGAAGGCUGAUAAUACCAAAUGUCGUAAAGAUGUGGAGCAACUGGAACUUUCACAUAAUGCUUAUAGGAAAGUUGAAAAUACUUUUGGACCUAGAAAUUUCCCUUCUAGGUAAGUAUUCAAAUGAAUUGGAUGCACACAUACACCAAAAUUAUGUACAAAAGAAUGUUCAUAGUAGUAUUAGUCAUAAUAGUCCUAAACUGGAAACAACCCAAAUGUUCAUCAAUUGUAGAAUGGAAAAACAUUUGAGAGUGUAUUCUUAAUGGCAUAUCAAAUGAUAAACCACACUUACAUGCAGAAAGCUAGAGAAUUUCAUAAGGCUUAUGUUGGGCAAAGGAGCCAGACACAGAGAAUGACUAGGAAUACUUUUAUAUCUAUUUCAAAAGUAGGCUAAACUAAUCUUUGAUUUUAGAAUUUAAGGCAUGGUUACCUUUGGGGAAGGUGGAAGGGAUGGCUGAAAUGGGAUUCAAGAGAAGAGUACUUCUGCAAUUUUUUUAUUCUUGACAAGAGUCUGGGCAUGGAUUUUACCCAUGGAGACAAUAUGUGAUAAUUCAUUGUGCUACACAUCUCUUGUGUACUUUUCUAAGCAUAUUAUACUCUUAAAAAGGUUGGAAGAGGGACAGACC